AUGACGGAGGAGGCCGAGGCGGCCGGCAUCAUCUGCUCGCUCCGCGCGGCCGACCUCGCCGGGUGGACGCCGCCCUGGAAGGCGAGCGCGCCGGCGUCGUCCGAAGCCACGGCGAAGGAGGAGACGGCCUGGCCGGCGGUGGCGCGGGGGAAGCGGACGCGGGCGUCGCGCUCCGGCUCCGCGGCCAGCAAGAACAAGGGGAGAUGGGCCCGGGGCAGCCCCGCGUCCCCGCUCGACUACAGCGGCGGGUCCGGGUCCGGCGCGUCCACCAGCGGCGGCGAGGACGGCGCCUUCUGCUCGCCGCCGGCGGCGGCGGUCGCCCUCGCGCGCGGGCACGCCGGCCCAACCACCGCCACCCCAGCUUCUUCAUCAGCCAAGGUUGGUCCUGCCGGAGGAGCACGGCGCCCGUCGAUCAUGCCCGUCCCGCCGGCCCGCACUGCCGGCCAGAGGUCGCGGAAGAAGAUGAGGCUCCCGGAAGUGAAGCAGCUGGUGCUGUCCCUGUCGGCGGAGAACGUUGGCCUUCGCCGGGAGAUGGAGACGCUGCUGAGGGCCUGCACGGCGCUGUCCAAUGAGAACGGCAGACUAGAGACAAGGUUUGAGCAUUCUUCCUCCUCGAACAAGCGGAAGAUGGUAGGGUCCGAAGAGGCGGAGCGGCGACAAAGGAAGCCGCAGCAAGCCGGUGGCGGCUUUGCGCUCCCCGACCUCAACUUUCCGGCGCAGGAUGUCGCCGACGCACCAGCAGCGGCUCCCUCACGGCCAACCUGA
rnacentral:rRNA from 1 species